rnacentral:lncRNA from 1 species
UCUCAAAAAAAAAAAAACUCGGAAAAAAUUCUUAAAUUAAUUCAAAUGUUUGAAUGAGAGUCCAUAAGAUAUAAAUUACAGUAAUUUAAAUUCAUAGUAAUCACAUUCUCAUCCUUUAAGAUUAGGAGAUUUUAAUAAUUAAUUGUUCCAUAAUAAAAGGAGAAAAGAAGCGUGACAACUAUACGCCAUUAAUUACUCAUUUUAUUCUCCAUAAACCCCAACCAACAAAACCAAGCCGCCAUACCGAGAGAGAGAGAGAGGGGGAGAGAGAAGUGAUAGAGACUUUCACCGAUCCUUCGAUUUUCCGAUCAAUGGAUUUAACGGCGAGGCCAAACCCUCAGCUCCGCCGCAGGAACUCAAUCGCGACGCCGAUCGUCGUCCCGGCAAAUCUCACCGUCCCCACAAAUCCCCACCGCGCCGCCACCUUCCCCCAUGGCGCCGCCGCCGCAGUAGAUUUCGAGCUCACCAUCAAGCCCCCAUCCUACACCUCCCUCAAGGACCUCCUCCCUCCCACCGCCGCAGUCCACUCACCCACCGCCUCCGCUGGGCGCGGCCGCGAGAUCUCCAUCCGCAACCUCCUCGUGAAGCAGGCCGCCUGGGCCUACCUCCAGCCCAUGUCCGCCUCGCCGGAUUCCGCCGGACGCCACCUCCUCCGCCGUCUCUGGGCCAAAAUCUCUGGCGACCUCCGCCAGAGCCCCGUCGCGUCUUUUGUCCGCUUCAUAACCCGGACCAUAACCCGAGCCUUCGAUUGGUUGGUCCGAGCCGUUCGUGUCGGGAACUUCCGAUAGCAGCCACUAACGGAAACAAUAACGUCUCUUUGGUGUCUCUGUUAAUUGAGCGAUAGGAAUCCGUUUGAGCGUGUAUCGAAUUAUCCAUAUUUAUUUGAUAUAUGGUGCUUAAAUUCGGUUGCCAGAUUUUGUGUACCCUAUAGAUAUAGGUUUUCUAUUUACUAUUUUUUGGCGCUUAUGCAAUGCAUCUAUAUUAUAAAUGAAAAAAAAAAAAAAAAAAAAACAAAAGACUUAGUUUGAAUACAAAAUCUCUUCUCUCGCUAUCUACGCCUCAAAUUCAUUGACUUGAAUCCAACGACUCAGAUUCACCUAAGAUUAUUUUUCCGCUAAAACUAAUCACUUUUCACUCUCUUUCCUCCUAACACUUUCACUUUUCUCUAUUCAUCAUAACUCCACUCUCUCUCUCUCACUUCAUAUUCCAAUAUUUUUAAUACUUUUUUUGUUACCCCUUAUUUUUAAUUUUUUUCACUUUUACUUCAAAUUUUUAAUAUUUUAUUUAUAUAAUAUAAAAUUUUAUAAACCCCUUUAUUUUUUUUUAUUGUUUUAAUACCCUUAAUUAGUUUAUUUUUCGUUUUACUUUUCAUUUCUAAUUUUUUAUAUAAAAAAUAUAUAAAAUUUUAUAAUUUCUUUUACCUCCCCAUCCCUAUGUUUUUUAUAAAAGAAAAAAUCAAGAUUUUUAAUAUUUUUUUUUAAUUUUGUGAUUGCUAGUUAUAUCUUAUUUGUUAAUUUGAGUCUUUUUUUAAUAUCCCUUUAUUUAUUUAUUUAGAUACUUUCACUUCUGAAUUUUUAUAUAAAAAAUUAUAAAAAAAUUAUGAUUUCUUUUGAAGGAGAUAUUGAUUCAGAAUUUAUGUUCUUAUGAUUUCUACUUAAUGAUAAGUUAAAAAGUUAUUAUUUUUCUGUAUUAUUGUUGUUUAAUAAAUCAAACUAUAAAAAUACAUAUUAAUUUUCAAGAAUAAUCUCAAAUAACAAAUAACCUAUCUAUAUUCUAAUCAGGACUUAGUUUGAAUCCAAA